rnacentral:rRNA from 1 species
UACAGAGGGUGCAAGCGUUGUUCGGAAUUAUUGGGCGUAAAGGGAGUGUAGGCGGCUUGUUAAGUCUUCUGUGAAAAUCUACGGGCUCAGCCUGUAACGUGCAGAGGAAACUGGCGAGCUUGAGUGUCGGAGAGGAUAGGGGAAUACCCGGUGUAGAGGUGAAAUUCGUAGAGAUCGGGUGGAACACCAGUGGCGAAGGCGCCUAUCUGCUGACAACUGACGCUGAGACUCGAAAGCAUGGGGAGCAAACAGG